AGAGCCUGCUCCCUUUCAGUCACUUUCUGAUUGGGCCUUACAGAUUGUUUCUAUGAGGCAAAAAACACAAGAGGUCCUGAAGCACACUGCUGUUUUAACUCAGAAAUCAUUGAAACUAGAAAAAGAAGCAGAUGAGCUAGAAAUGAAAAUUAAUUAUUUGAAACAGCCAUUUGAAAGGACUACUGAAAAUCAAAACCAUUCUGAAAUAACUGAUGGAAAAUAUAAAAGAAAUCUAGAACAAAGGAAGGAGUUUAAGGAAAGGGGGUUUGAAGAGAAUGAAAAUCCAUAUUUAGUACAUGAGCAGCAGCAGCAGCCAUUACAUCUUCCUUCCAUUCCUCAGAAAUUUGUCCAAUCUAUAAGGACUUUUAGACAAUCUCU